AACGAACGCUGGCGGCAUGCCUAACACAUGCAAGUCGAACGAGAACUUCGGGUCUAGUGGCGCACGGGUGCGUAACGCGGGGGAACCUGCCCUUAGGUUCGGAAUAACUCCCCGAAAGGGAUGCUAAUACCGGAUAAUGUCUUCGGACCAAAGAUUUAUCGCCUUUGGAUGGGCCCGCGUUGGAUUAGCUAGUUGGUAGGGGAUAAGCCUACCAAGGCGACGAUCCAUAGCUGGUCUGGGAGGAUGAUCAGCAGCACUGGGGCUGCGACCCGGCCCAGACUCCUACGCGAGGCAGCAGUGGGUAAUAUUGUACGAGGGGCGAUAGUCUGAUCCAGCAAUGCCGCGUGAGUGAUGAAUGCCUUAGGGUUGUAAAGCCCUUUUACCCGGGAUGAUAAUGACAGUACCGGGAGAAUAAGCUCCGGCUAACUCCGUG
rnacentral:rRNA from 1 species